ensembl:lncRNA
AUGGAUGGAUGGAUGUCCAAACUGAUGCCUUCAGGCAGAAAACAAGAAGAGAAGCGCGAGAAGAAAGAGCGCCAAGAACGAGAGAAGCACGAGAAGAAAGAGCGCCAAGAACGAGAGAAGCACGAGAAGAAAGAGCGCAAAGAAAGAGAGAAGCACGAGCAGAAAGAGCGCCAAGAAUGUCAGAAGCACGAGAAGAAAGAGCGCCAAGAACGUGAGAAGCACGAGAAGAAAGAGCGCCAAGAACGUGAGAAGCACGAGAAGAAAGAGCGCCAAGAACGUGAGAAGCACGAGAAGAAAGAGCGCCAAGAACGUGAGAAGCGCGAGAAGAAAGAGCGCCAAGAACGAGAGAAGCACGAGAAGAAAGAGCGCAAAGAACGAGAGAAGCACGAGAAGAAAGAGCGCCAAGAACGUGAGAAGCGCGAGAAGAAAGAGCGCCAAGAACGUGAGAAGCGCGAGAAGAAAGAGCGCCAAGAACGUGAGAAGCGCGAGAAGAAAGGACAAACGGUGAAGCAGUUUAUUGUGAAAUCAGACGGCUUGAUCACUGGACUGGAAAAGGCCAACGGGACCAUCCUCACAAACGAAAAUGAAAAUCUCAGAAAGGCUGCCGAAGAACAUGCCCUGUGUUCUUUCAAGUGUGAGGAGCUGGCCAACGAGCUCUGCACUCUGAGAAGUGACCUAGAGAAGGCCAAAAAGACCGUCCAGGAGAAGGACAGUAAGAUCAGCCAACUGUCAGAGGACAGGUCCUCCUUACAAGAUCAGCUGAAACGUGAGCAGGAAUCAAGAGAAAGCAUUGAGAAACACCUUGAUGAGCUCGAGAAACGUAACAGUGAAAUUCAAUCAGAGCUGGUUAGUAAGGAGAAUGUCAUCACUGACCUGUUUGCUGAAAACAAUCAUGUCUGCAACGAACUGGCCAAGAGCAAGGCCAAGUUCAGACAGUUGGAGGAGGGAGAGCUGGAAUUUGAGCAAACGCAGAAAAGUUUACAGCAGUCUCUGACUCUUCAGCAAAAAGAGGCUCUAGAGUUAAGGGUAAAGUGUGACCAGCUCAGAAAAGAAAAUGAAAACCUCAGAAAGGCUGCCGAAGAACAUGCCCAGUGUUCUUCCAAGUGUGAGGAGCUGGCCAACGAGGUCUGCACUCUGAGGAGUGACCUACAGAAGGCCAACAAGACCGUCCAGGAGAAGGACAGUAAGAUCAGCCAACUGUCAGAGGACAGGUCCUCCUUACAAGAUCAGCUGAAAUGUGAGCAGGAAGCAAAAGAACCAGAGGAGCUCAAGCAACAUGGCAGCGACCUGAUUGCUGAGAGCAAGGAUCCCUGCAACCAGCUGUCCAAGAGCAGGGACAAGUACAGACCGUUGGACCCCGAACAGCUGGUAGACAUCUUUCUGCCAAAAUGGGUAAAAUUACAGGAACCUCCAAAAAGAGAACGUGUUGCAGAGACACCAGAUAAGAGAUUGGACUGGCUGUUCCGCAUACACGAGCAGGGCACCCUAGACCCGGACAACCUAAGCGACCAGGAAUACGCAGACUACCAGCACGGCUGGGACUACAACGAGAGCGUAGACCACCAGGACCAAUACAGCCUGGGCAACCCGAAGAUUGGGGAUAAUUGUGGAAAGGAGACAGGCGAAAGACAGACAGGACGAAAGAAGAAAAAGAAGACACACAGAAGAUACUGA